rnacentral:rRNA from 1 species
UACGGAGGGGGCUAGCGUUGUUCGGAAUUACUGGGCGUAAAGCGUGCGCAGACGGUUGCGUAAGUCAGAUGUGAAAGCCCCGGGCUCAACCUGGGAAUUGCAUUUGAGACUGCGUAGCUAGGGUGCGGAAGAGGGAAGCGGAAUUUCCGGUGUAGCGGUGAAAUGCGUAGAUAUCGGAAGGAACACCAGUGGCGAAAGCGGCUUCCUGGUCCAGCACCGACGUUCAGGCACGAAAGCGUGGGGAGCAAACAGG